UUCCAAGGUAGGAGAUGAUGUGAUGUUCUUCAUUCUUCAUCAAUCACCUAUGCUUGAAAGGCAGUGAUCAGGUGAUUUAUUACAAUAAUUAUAGCUAUAUUCAAGAAAUCCAGUCCCUUUGAAUUCUUGCAGGUUGGAGAUUCUUUCCCUUUUUGUGGAGCUGCAAGCAUUUCUGAGAGGUUAAAGAAGUUCGUUCAAGAUGCUAAUUCAUUUUGAAGUUUGAAGCUUUAAUGGUGAAAGUUCUGUGAGAAUUAACUAGUAUGUUUUUCAUACAUAUGUCUAUACUAGGUUUCUGUUUGGGAGGAAAUUUUAUAAAGUAUUGGUAGGUUUUUGAAGAUUUCAAAACUUUAAAUUUAUGUUCGUGAGAAUUCUGGGUUUUUAAAGUAAGAUUUUUUGAGAUUUUAAAAUAAAAAAAAAACCUUUAUUUUAG
rnacentral:misc_RNA from 1 species